GUAGGGAAUAUUGCGCAAUGGACGAAAGUCUGACGCAGCGACGCCGCGUGAGUGAUGAAGGCCUUAGGGUCGUAAAGCUCUGUUGAAUGGGAAGAAAAAAAUGACGGUACCAUUCGAGGAAGGACCGGCUAACUUCGUGCCAGCAGCCGCGGUAAUACGAGGGGUCCUAGCGUUGUUCGUAAUCAUUGGGCGUAAAGGGUGUGUAGGUGGCCAUGUAAGUCAGGUGUGAAAGCCCCGGGCUCAACCCGGGAAGUGCACUUGAUACUGCGUGGCUUGAGUACCGAAGAGGGUAGUGGAAUUCCAGGUGUAGUGGUGAAAUACGUAGAUAUCUGGAGGAACACCGGUGGCGAAGGCGGCUACCUGGUCGAGUACUGACACUGAGACACGAAAGCAUGGGGAUCAAACAGGAUUAGAUACCCUGGUAGUCC
rnacentral:rRNA from 1 species